UACGUAGGGUGCAAGCGUUUAAUCGGAAUUACUGGGCGUAAAGCGUGCGCAGGCGGUUGUGCAAGACAGAUGUGAAAUCCCCGGGCUCAACCUGGGAAUUGCAUUUGUGACUGCACGGCUAGAGUGUGUCAGAGGGGGGUAGAAUUCCACGUGUAGCAGUGAAAUGCGUAGAUAUGUGGAGGAAUACCGAUGGCGAAGGCAGCCCCCUGGGAUAACAC
rnacentral:rRNA from 1 species